rnacentral:tRNA from 1 species
GGUCAGGUGGCCGAGUGGUUAUGGCGAUACGUUUAGGCAAUGUAGAGCUUUUCUCCUUUGAAAUCCGUAUUUCGAAAGAGCGUGGGUUCGAAUCCCACCCUGAUCA